AGCUGGUGGUGGAGCACCCUUUUAGCUGAUGAGAAGCCCUCAAUCACUGCCAGCUGCACGCUGCCCCUGAACUCUAUCUUGCAACUCCCACCUUCCUAGAAGAUGUUACACAGCCAUGCUUUAGUGAGCUAUCAAUUAAGGGAAUAUAGCUACCCUAAGGAAGGUUCUACACCCACCCCACUUCCUUAGUGAUACACUACACCCUUCUAUGAAGCUUGCAACUGGAAUGUUUCUUGAGUUGCAGCUCUUCCAUGUGCCCCAGGACAGCCUGCUGGAGAAGGGCAUCUUUGUCCCAGCACAGUGGAUUGAGGUUUUCCUGUUGUUUGUGGGCUGCUACAGGGCUGGGUCCUCUGUGUGCAUGAAUUGUGAAGUGUGCCUGCAGUCCAGCCACGUCCUGAGCCCCCACACCAAGUGCAGAUGGAUUGGUUCUUUGGCCAUUACCUCCAAGGCAAUGGGUUGAACCAGAAUGGGAGAUGGCUGCUACAUUGCUCCGGAAGUUUGUAGUGAUGUCAGUAUUGGGCAACAAGGAAGAAAUAACAACUAUUGCUACAAAGCCUUCAUAAAGGAAAUGGAGUGGGCUGAACUGCUUCCUCUUUAUUGGUAUUUAUGUGGGAUGUGAAUCAACCAGCAUACAAGCCAAUAGUGCAUGAUCAAAGGGUGAAUACUAAUGAUAAUAAGUUAUAUGAUAUCUCUUUCAUACCAGUAGAUGUAUUAUGUCCAUUCCCUACCCAUGUUGUGCCUAUGUGGUGGCAUCAGGAAUUUUUUUUGAGCAAGGCAGAAAGAAGAAUUGCCUAAGCAACACAUGCUUUGUAUGCUCGCUUCCUACAAACUAUUCAGUGAGUAAAACUGACAGAGAUCUUUUUUACUUUAGGUGAUUUUCAGAUAACUACACUUUUUAACCCAA
rnacentral:lncRNA from 1 species